CUGCUCUUUCACCCUCCAACUCAUGCGGGCAGCUAAACUGAAAGAAGAAAAAUGGACAAAAGGGAAAAAGACAGGACUCUACCAAGAACCCCUCUUUGAUGGAAACUUGAGGCAUCUCUGCUGUAAGAGUGGGAAGAGAAGAAAAGCAUUUCCAGAAGCAGCUGGAAUAGCAUCGUAAACAUCCUAACAACCCACAGAAAAAGCCCAAUGACACUCUCCUGCUGGAUGAAACAAAGACCUCUAACAGUUCAGCAGGAUCAUAUUGUCCUGCUGACAGAUCAUGCAUGUGAAGUAGAAGAGCUGAUACAGGAUAGUGAAACCAGCAAUGAACCUGAGAAAAUUGAGGAGGCGCAGCUGGAAUAUAAAUGGACAAAAGCAGCCUCUGACAAGGAAAGGCAAGAUCAAAAGGAAGAAAACACGUAGGAGAGUGGAUAAAUGCUAAAACUAAUGGGACCACCCACAAACAUAGGAUACCUCCUCCAAAAUGUACGCAUGAAGGUUUGAGCAUGUAUUUAUCUAUCAUGAGAUUAACAAGAAUGUGAAAUAGAAUACUUCUGAUAUAAAUUACCACAGGUACUAAAAUGUCUGUUCUAUCUACGAUAGGUUAUAUCCUCAUUCAGAGGCACUUAAACUCUGAUUAAAUGGAACCCUGCAACAUCUGUAGAGAGUCAGAUUGAAUCAUUCUUCAGGAGACAAACACUACAUGUUUUCAUUAUGUUUCAAUUACAUAGCCUGUCCAGAUCUUAAGGAUUUACACUUUGGGGUUUUUUUUUAAUCUUCUAUUUCUUUAAAGUAGAACAUGGAUGUAACGAUCAUGUUAGCACAGUGGAUAAAUGAUGACAAAAAUCAGCAGCAAAAUUUGAAGCGAUCCCAUUCAUUGGUCUACCUACAGAUAAAAAAAGGGUUGCUUUUUUCCUUGAUGCCUGACAAAGACACUCUGAUUUCUGAAAGCUGUAUUUUAAAACUGUUGUUUAAAUCACCUACAUAAGUAUAUCUGAGUAGUUGCAUCAAAGAGCCACAGUAGUUUGGAUCUGAUUCUGAAUUUGUAAUUUUUCCAGUAAAAAAGAUUGGUUUAGAAAGUUUGAAGCCUUCUUAAUGAACCAUGGAAAAUGCUUAGAGAAGUGGAGACUAAUCUUGUGAAAAGACAGAUGAACUCAAGAUACCUACGGAGAUUUUAGAAGCGAUAGAAAUAUGAGAUUGAAGAAAAAAACGGUGUUUGUGAUUACAAAGCAGAAUUGCAGAGAAGAGAGAUGAAACACUAGAAGCAGAUAAGUUUAUCUAGUCAAUAUAUGGAGAAAGAAAGCGAUGGAGAUAACAUAUCUAGUGACGAAGACCACAGAAUGGUAGUUGAUGAGGAAGGUUGAGAUGAUUUUUUCAGACUUUGAAUGACAACAGUGUAUUCCUCUGAGGCUGGCAAGGUGCGGCGGAAAAUUAGUUGCUGAGGUAUGAGAAGAAUCAAGACACCUAGUUAGUUUUGCAGUGAAAGCAGUGGAUUGGUACUCAUAUAACCUGCAUUUUGACUCCCUGGUUAAGUUUGAAGUUCUGUUUUUCUUGGGCAACGCAGUUGCUUCUCUCUUCAGUUUCCUGUUUAUAAGCUAGGGUUGAUAGUACUUCUUUUGUGUCAUCUUACUCUUGACUUUUUUGUCUGAGUUAAGGCAGAUACCAUAUCUCAACGUAUAUAUCACCCUAGACAGUAACCAGAUCCCAGCUGCGACCAUUGUGUAAUAGUAUCGCAGUUCUCACUGGUAAAUAGAGAGGAUCAGAAAAGUUGAAGAAGCUGCCAAAAGGCUUGGUAUCAGGCAUUAAAAGUGAUUAUUUAAAAAUACAUAUUUGGGUUCUUUUAUUUGCUUUCUGAUCCUAUCAAGCACACUCAAAGCAUAUUUCAGCAUAUUUUUCACUUAUUCCCUUGAAGGUUCUUUUACUUCAAAAGAAAGUGAUUGUUCUCAUCCAAGAGCUUGGGCUUUCUGAAAAACUCCAGCUCUCAUCAGACUUAUGAUAAAAACAUAAGAGCCAGUAACAUUGAGCGUUCCCUUUGUUUUAUAACCUCUCUUUCAUGAAUAUUUACUUUUCAUUUGAAUAAUUAGCAUCAAUAAAAAUGAACACAUUACAUCUGUGGGGACUGCA
rnacentral:lncRNA from 1 species